rnacentral:rRNA from 1 species
GAUGAACGCUGGCGGCGUGCCUAAUACAUGCAAGUCGAGCGAACAGACGAGGAGCUUGCUCCUCUGACGUUAGCGGCGGACGGGUGAGUAACACGUGGAUAACCUACCUAUAAGACUGGGAUAACUUCGGGAAACCGGAGCUAAUACCGGAUAAUAUAUUGAACCGCAUGGUUCAAUAGUGAAAGACGGUUUUGCUGUCACUUAUAGAUGGAUCCGCGCCGCAUUAGCUAGUUGGUAAGGUAACGGCUUACCAAGGCAACGAUGCGUAGCCGACCUGAGAGGGUGAUCGGCCACCCUGGAACUGAGACGCGGUCCAGACUCCUACGGGAGGCAGCAGUAGGGAAUCUUCCGCAAUGGGCGAAAGCCUGACGGAGCAACGCCGCGUGAGUGAUGAAGGUCUUCGGAUCGUAAAACUCUGUUAUUAGGGAAGAACAAAUGUGUAAGUAACUAUGCACGUCUUGACGGUACCUAAUCAGAAAGCCACGGCUAACUACGUG